rnacentral:rRNA from 1 species
GAGUUUGAUCGUGGCUCAGAACGAACGCUGGCGGCAUGCCUAACACAUGCAAGUCGAACGAAGGCUUCGGCCUUAGUGGCGCACGGGUGCGUAACGCGUGGGAAUCUGCCCUUGGGUUCGGAAUAACAGCGGGAAACUGCUGCUAAUACCGGAUGAUGACGUAAGUCCAAAGAUUUAUCGCCCAAGGAUGAGCCCGCGUAGGAUUAGCUAGUUGGUGGGUAAAGGCCCACCAAGGCGACGAUCCUUAGCUGGUCUGAGAGGAUGAUCAGCCACACUGGGACUGAGACACGGCCCAGACUCCUACGGGAGGCAGCAGUGGGGAAUAUUGGACAAUGGGCGAAAGCCUGAUCCAGCAAUGCCGCGUGAGUGAUGAAGG